CAGAUGACCCUCUCUUGCUGUUCCCACCGGGUGUCAUAAACUCCAUGACUACUUCCAAGAAACGUUAAGGCACUAGAAGCCAAAAUCCUGAAUCCCGAGUCUGUGACCAGCCACCAAACCGGUAUCCAAAGGACAAGAGUGGUACAAGCAGAAGCAGCAAAUGCCAUCUCCCAACAAAACUGCCCAGAGGAAAAGACAGACACAGUGUUUGCCUGACUCACAGUUCAAGGAGAAGAAACUUGAUUUUCCCACUGGGACCUGAUCCCACGCAUGACUUCUGCAAGACCAAGCAUGGCCACCAACAGAUACGCUGUCAGAGCCAAACACAAGCCUUCAGGGGAACGUGAUCUGACAAGCAGCUGCCACUGCUGAAAACUUUCUUUGUAGACCCUGACAUCUGGCUUCUCUGACUGCCAAGCCUGGCCUCCUCCAAGGUGCCACAGGAGAUGCGUCGGUGUGGCAGAAUUUCUGCGGUAAAAGUCCCCACAGCAUCACAUGGAGCUCCUGAACAUCACUGAACCAUUCCACUUCACUGGCUGCACUUCAGGAGGCAGAGUUGCCCUUGCUGACCUGUGACCAGAAUUAAUUAGAGCUGUUCAGAGUUGCUCUUUGACUUGACUUUCUGUGACUGUGUUGUUGACACUGCACUAGAAGCAGCCUCCUGAAAUUAGGACCAGUGCAAUAGUCCAUGUUUUUGCUGAAAUGUCAUCUAGAAGAUUCACAGUUCCUCUGAAAGACUUAGAAAAAGUGACCUACAAAAACAGAUAAGACUCCAACUCCAUCAGCUGACCAACUCCAGCUGUUUGCAGCCCUUCAUGCAAUGCUGAGCACAG